GGAGGGGCCCACGUGACCUCCGCGCGGCGGCGGCGCCGCGGCCCAGGCCCCGGAUGUAGGGGGCGGGCCUCCGCGUGCGCACCACCCGUCUCCCGCGCGCAGGCGCGCUGGCUUUACGCGCGUCGGCUGACGUGGCGGCGGCUGGCGCCAUCCGCGCUCUUAGAUGCCCCCUUGGAACUCCGAGGUUUAAUGCGAGGGGAGCGAUUCUCAGGCCCCUCGCCGCUCAGGCGACAGUCGGGCUGGGAAAGGUAUUUUUUAAAAAUAAAAAACGUUGGUGACAGAGAUUGCCUGAGUGAGGGGGGCGCUCCCAGACAAGGCUACUGGGGAGCCGAGACCUUAAAGAUGGGGACAGACCAGUGACAGCAACCUGGCAGAGGGCAAAAGCGCUGCAGCAGAACAAAUACGUGGAGUGUUGUCGCCUUUACAUUCAGCACACAUGGCAAACCAUUCAAAGAGAUUCAAAGCAAGCAUGGGAGGAAAUAUGGAGGGAGCCACAUGGCAAGGAAUUGCAGAUGGCCUCUGGAAGCUGAGAGCAGUCUGCCAGCCAACAGCCAGCCAAUAAACAGAGACCUCAGUCCUACAACUGCGAAGAUCUGAAUUCCAUCAACAACUUGGAUGAGUGUAGAGGCAAAUUCUUCCCCAGAGCCUCCAGAAAGGAAUGCAGCUUGACCAGCACCUGGACUUCGGUCUGACAAAACUCUGAAUGGAGAACCCAAUCCUGCCACACCUGGAAUUAUGAACUACAGAACUUUUCCAUGCUGAGUCUCAGCCAGCACCAACGCCUCAUAGUUAAUGAUUAGCUGUAUCCUAUAACCAAGAUUCCUGUCAGUAAAUGGCCAGAAUGACAUAGCAACCGAGAUAAAUAUCAAACUAGGUACUGGCAUCAAUUGUAAGCAAUUAUCCAUCAUAAGACCACCUGGGGGUAUGGUUCCUGGCUCAAGCUACAUUCUUUGUCCCUUUGCCUUGUCAAUCAUUAGUUCAGCUGUACUAGAGAACAUUUACUGUAACAACUGUAGAGCAGGGGGAAAUAAUCUGUGUAGACUACUGAGUCGUCUCUUCCAUCCCGACUCAA